GAAGCGGUGGCUCAAUGGUAGAGCUUUCGACUCCAAAAUCGAAGGGUUGCAGGUUCAAUUCCUGUCCGUUUCA
rnacentral:tRNA from 1 species